rnacentral:piRNA from 1 species
UCCAACUUUCUGUUCUCCUUCCUUAGUGU